rnacentral:piRNA from 1 species
UGAGCACCUUCUUCAAGAAUGGAGAGG